rnacentral:rRNA from 1 species
GUAAACGAUGUCGACUUGGAGGUUGUGCCCUUGAGGCGUGGCUUCCGGAGCUAACGCGUUAAGUCGACCGCCUGGGGAGUACGGCCGCAAGGUUAAAACUCAAAUGAAUUGACGGGGGCCCGCACAAGCGGUGGAGCAUGUGGUUUAAUUCGAUGCAACGCGAAGAACCUUACCUGGUCUUGACAUCCACGGAAGUUUUCAGAGAUGAGAAUGUGCCUUCGGGAACCGUGAGACAGGUGCUGCAUGGCUGUCGUCAGCUCGUGUUGUGAAAUGUUGGGUUAAGUCCCGCAACGAGCGCAACCCUUAUCCUUUGUUGCCAGCGGUCCGGCCGGGAACUCAAAGGAGACUGCCAGUGAUAAACUGGAGGAAGGUGGGGAUGACGUCAAGUCAUCAUGGCCCUUACGACCAGGGCUACACACGUGCUACAAUGGCGCAUACAAAGAGGAGCGACCUCGCGAGAGCAAGCGGACCUCAUAAAGUGCGUCGUAGUCCGGAUUGGAGUCUGCAACUCGACUCCAUGAAGUCGGAAUCGCUAGUAAUCGUGGAUCAGAAUGCCACGGUGAAUACGUUCCCGGGCCUUGUACGCACCGCCCGUCACACCAUGGGAGUGGGUUGCAAAAGAAGUAGGUAGCUUAACCUUCGGGAGGGCGCUUACCACUUUGUGAUUCAUGACUGGGGUG